UCGAAAAUACAGCCCUGUUGGCUCUGUUUCUGCUCGAAAAACAGAGGAAACAAAAUAGAAAGGAAGGCUCCAUUUCUUUUCAAAAUAGAGAGGAGAAAGGAGAAAGGAGAAAGGAGAAAGGAGAGAGGAGAGAGGAGAAAGAGAAAGGAGAAGAAGCAUACAUGUGAAGCUUGAAGAAGACCAAGGAUGAAGAAGACUGAGCAGUGAGAACUGCCUUGUUCGAAG
rnacentral:lncRNA from 1 species